rnacentral:tRNA from 1 species
GGGGUUGUGGCUCAGCGGUAGAGUGCUCACCUCCUAUGUGCGAGGCCCUGGGUUUGAUCCUCAGCACCACA